GCACGAGUAGCUCAGCCCAGAGCGCCGGCCUUGUAAGUCGGACGUCGGAGGUUAAAAUCCUCCCUCUUGCU
rnacentral:tRNA from 1 species